UACGUAGGGUGCAAGCGUUGUCCGGAAUUAUUGGGCGUAAAGAGCUCGUAGGCGGUCUGUUGCGUCGGCUGUGAAAACCCGGGGCUCAACCCCGGGCCUGCAGCCGAUACGGGCAGACUAGAGUUCGGCAGGGGAGACUGGAAUUCCUGGUGUAGCGGUGAAAUGCGCAGAUAUCAGGAGGAACACCGGUGGCGAAGGCGGGUCUCUGGGCCGAUACUGACGCUGAGGAGCGAAAGCCAGGGGAGCGAACGGG
rnacentral:rRNA from 1 species